GCCUCGGUAGCUCAGGGGAUAGAGCAACGGUUUCCUAAACCGUAGGUCGGAGGUUCGAAACCUCUCCGGGGUA
rnacentral:tRNA from 3 species